rnacentral:rRNA from 1 species
CUUGUACACACCGCCCGUCACACCACGAAAGUUGGCAACACCCGAAGCCGGUGGGCUAACCUCUUUGAGGAGGCAGCCGUCUAAGGUGGGGUCGAUGAUUGGGGUG